rnacentral:rRNA from 1 species
UUGCCAGCCCGCUCAAGAAACUAAAGGAAUUGACGGGACCCCGCACAAGCGGUGGAUCAUGUUGUUUAAUUCGAUGAUACGCGAAGAACCUUACCAGGUCUUGACAUCCCCCGCGAUGCUUUAGAGAUAAAGCGGAGGUAUUCGGGGAGACAGGUGGUGCAUGGUUGUCGUCAGCUCGUGUCGUGAGAUGUUGGGUUAAGUCCCGCAACGAGCGCAACCCCUAUUGCUAGUUACCAUCAUUAAGUUGGGGACUCUAGCGAGACUGCCAGUGAUAAACUGGAGGAAGGUGGGGAUGACGUCAAAUCAUCAUGCCCCUUAUGACCUGGGCUACAAACGUGAUACAAUGGCUGGAACAAAGGGAUGCGAAGCAGUGAUGUGGAGCGAAACCCAUAAAAACAGUCUCAGUUCGGAUUGAAGUCUGCAACUCGACUUCAUGAAGUCGGAAUCGCUAGUAAUCGCGGAUCAGCAUGUCACGGUGAAUACGUUCCCGGGCCUU